UGGGGUGCUAAUACAUGCAAGUCGAGCGGACAGAAGGGAGCUUGCUCCCGGAUGUUAGCGGCGGACGGGUGAGUAACACGUGGGUAACCUGCCUGUAAGACUGGGAUAACUCCGGGAAACCGGAGCUAAUACCGGAUAGUUCCUUGAACCGCAUGGUUCAAGGAUGAAAGACGGUUUCGGCUGUCACUUACAGAUGGACCCGCGGCGCAUUAGCUAGUUGGUGAGGUAACGGCUCACCAAGGCGACGAUGCGUAGCCGACCUGAGAGGGUGAUCGGCCACACUGGGACUGAGACACGGCCCAGACUCCUACGGGAGGCAGCAGUAGGGAAUCUUCCGCAAUGGACGAAAGUCUGACGGAGCAACGCCGCGUGAGUGAUGAAGGUUUUCGGAUCGUAAAGCUCUGUUGUUAGGGAAGAACAAGUGCAAGAGUAACUGCUUGCACCUUGACGGUACCUAACCAGAAAGCCACGGCUAACUACGUGCCAGCAGCCGCGGUAAUACGUAGGUGGCAAGCGUUGUCCGGAAUUAUUGGGCGUAAAGGGCUCGCAGGCGGUUUCUUAAGUCUGAUGUGAAAGCCCCCGGCUCAACCGGGGAGGGUCAUUGGAAACUGGGAAACUUGAGUGCAGAAGAGGAGAGUGGAAUUCCACGUGUAGCGGUGAAAUGCGUAGAGAUGUGGAGGAACACCAGUGGCGAAGGCGACUCUCUGGUCUGUAACUGACGCUGAGGAGCGAAAGCGUGGGGAGCGAACAGGAUUAGAAUCCGG
rnacentral:rRNA from 1 species